rnacentral:rRNA from 1 species
CAGUCGCCGCGGGAAUACGGAGGGUGCAAGCGUUAAUCGGAAUUACUGGGCGUAAAGCGUGCGUAGGCGGUUCGUUAAGUCUGUUGUGAAAGCCCCGGGCUCAACCUGGGAAUGGCAAUGGAUACUGGCGAGCUAGAGUGUGUCAGAGGAUGGUGGAAUUCCCGGUGUAGCGGUGAAAUGCGUAGAGAUCGGGAGGAACAUCAGUGGCGAAGGCGGCCAUCUGGGACAACACUGACGCUGAGGCACGAAGGCGUGGGGAGCAAACAGGAUUAGAUACCCCCGUAGUCCCUGUCUCUUAUAA